AUUGAACGCUGGCGGCAGGCCUAACACAUGCAAGUCGAGCGAGCGGCGGACGGGUGAGUAAUGUAUGGGGACUGCCCGAUAGAGGGGGAUAACUACUGGAAACGGUAGCUAAUACCGCAUACUAUCGGAUAACCCAUAUGGGAUUAGCUAGGAGGUGAGGUAAUGGCUCACCUAGGCGACGAUCCCUAGAUGGUCUGAGAGGAUGAUCAGCAACACGGAGAAUGAGAAACGGCCCAGACGCCGACGGAGGCAGCAGUGGGGAAUAUUGGACAAUGGGCGCAAGCCUGAUGCAGCCAUGCGGCGUGUAUGAAGAAGGCCCGAGGGUUGGAAAGUACUGGCAGUCGGGAGGCUUUACCGACAGAAGAAGCACCGGCUAACUCCGUGCCAGCAGCCGCGGGAAUAC
rnacentral:rRNA from 1 species